rnacentral:rRNA from 1 species
GACGAACGCUGGCGGCGUGCCUAAUACAUGCAAGUCGAACGCAGUGGGGACGGGUGAGUAACCAGUGGGUAACCUCCCAUCAGAGGGGAUAACACUUGGAAACAGGUGCUAAACCGAUACUGAUGGAUGAACCCGCGGUGCAUUAGCUAGUUGGUGAGGUAACUGCUCACCAAGGCCACGAUGCAUAGCCGACCUGAGAUGAUGAGCGGCCACACGGGGACGUAGACACGGCCCAGACUCCUACGGGAGGCAGCAGUAGGGAAUCUUCGGCAAUGGACGAAAGUCUGACCGAGCAACGCCGCGUGAGUGAAGAAGGUUUUCGGAUCGUAAAACUCUGUUGUUAGAGAAGCGGUAUCUAACCAGAAAGCCACGGCUAACUACGUGCCAGCAGCCGCGGUAAUUC